CUCCAGCUGAAUGGCUCUGUCCCCUGCCCCUUCUCUGUCUGGGCUGGUCCCUAGAGUUGUUCUAAAAAUCAAAUAACAUGAUAAAUAAAUUUAAAAAAAAACAAGUAAGAUAACAAGGGCUGGUCCAGAUGUGGAGGAAGGGAACACCUGCACACUGUUGCUGGGAAUUUAAAUUAGUACAAGCAUUCAGGGAAACAGUAUGGAAGUCCCGCAAAAAAUUAAAAAUAGAAUUACCGUAUGAUCCAGCAAUUUCACUACUGGGUAUAUCUCCAAAGGAAAUGAAAUCCUUACCUUGAAGUGGUAUCUACACUCCCAUGUUCAUUGGAGCACUAUUCACAAUGGCCAAGAUAUGAAAACAAGCCAAGUGUCUGUCCAUGAAUGAAUGGCUACAGAAAGUGUGGUAUACAUAUAUCUGGUGGAAUAUUAUCCAAUCUUAAAAAAAAAUUGUCAUUUUCGACAUGGAUGAACUUAGAAAACAUUAUGCU
rnacentral:lncRNA from 10 species